AUUGAACGCUGGCGGAAUGCUUUACACAUGCAAGUCGAACGGUAGAGGGGGCAACCUCUCGAGAGUGGCGAACGGGUGAGUAAUAUAUCGGAACGUGCCCAGUCGUGGGGGAUAACGUAGCGAAAGUUACGCUAAUACCGCAUACGAUCUACGGAUGAAAGCGGGGGACCGUAAGGCCUCGCGCGAUUGGAGUGGCCGAUGUCGGAUUAGCUAGUUGGUGAGGUAAAAGCUCACCAAGGCGACGAUCCGUAGCAGGUCUGAGAGGAUGAUCUGCCACACUGGGACUGAGACACGGCCCAGACUCCUACGGGAGGCAGCAGUGGGGAAUUUUAGACAAUGGGGGCAACCCUGAUCCAGCCAUGCCGCGUGAGUGAAGAAGGCCUUCGGGUUGUAAAGCUCUUUCGGCGGGGAAGAAAUAGCAACGGCUAAUAUCCGUUGUUGAUGACGGUACCCGCAUAAGAAGCACCGGCUAACUACGUGCCAGCAGCCGCCGUAA
rnacentral:rRNA from 1 species